GAUGAACGCUGGCGGCGUGCCUAAUACAUGCAAGUCGAGCGAACAGAUAAGGAGCUUGCUCCUUUGACGUUAGCGGCGGACGGGUGAGUAACACGUGGGUAACCUACCUAUAAGACUGGGAUAACUUCGGGAAACCGGAGCUAAUACCGGAUAACAUUUGGAACCGCAUGGUUCUAAAGUGAAAGAUGGUUUUGCUAUCACUUAUAGAUGGACCCGCGCCGUAUUAGCUAGUUGGUAAGGUAACGGCUUACCAAGGCAACGAUACGUAGCCGACCUGAGAGGGUGAUCGGCCACACUGGGACUGAGACACGGUCCAGACUCCUACGGGAGGCAGCAGUAGGGAAUCUUCCGCAAUGGGCGAAAGCCUGACGGAGCAACGCCGCGUGAGUGAUGAAGGGUUUCGGCUCGUAAAACUCUGUUAUUAGGGAAGAACAAAUGUGUAAGUAACUGUGCACGUCUUGACGGUACCUAAUCAGAAAGCCACGGCUAACUACGUG
rnacentral:rRNA from 1 species